rnacentral:rRNA from 1 species
UACGUAGGGUGCAAGCGUUGUCCGGAAUUAUUGGGCGUAAAGAGCUCGUAGGCGGUUUGUCGCGUCUGCUGUGAAAACCCGAGGCUCAACCUCGGGCCUGCAGUGGGUACGGGCAGACUAGAGUGCGGUAGGGGAGGUUGGAAUUCCUGGUGUAGCGGUGGAAUGCGCAGAUAUCAGGAGGAACACCAAUGGCGAAGGCAGAUCUCUGGGCCGUAACUGACGCUGAGGAGCGAAAGCAUGGGGAGCGAACAGG